UACAGAGGGGGCAAGCGUUAUUCGGAAUUAUUGGGCGUAAAGGGCGCGUAGGCGGCCAGGCAAGUGGAAGGUGAAAUCCCUCGGCUUAACCGAGGAACUGCCCUCCAAACUGCUUGGCUUGAGACCGGGAGAGGUGAGUGGAAUUCCCAGUGUAGCGGUGAAAUGCGUAGAUAUUGGGAGGAACACCAGUGGCGAAGGCGGCUCACUGGACCGGUACUGACGCUGAUGCGCGAAAGCUAGGGGAGCAAACAGG
rnacentral:rRNA from 1 species